rnacentral:rRNA from 1 species
GGAGGAAGCGAUAGGACGUUUUCGUUUGGCAUCGAGCGAGCAAAGCAUAGACGAGCCUGCUCGCUGCCAAAAAGCAAGAUAGGCUCUACCCGCGUCACAACCGUCCACUGGGCCAGAGCUUCGGCAUCACUCAGGGAGCGGCCGUCGCGGGUGGGGUCGAGGGACUUCGUGUGAUCUUGCUAAACUUGAUAUUGUCCUACCGACCCGUCUUGAAACACGGAACAAGGAGUCUAACAAAUACGCGAUUAUGUUGGUGUUCUUUGAAACCAGACAUGAGCAAUGAAAGUAAGCGGUGCCAAUCGCAAGAUGCAGCAUCGGCCGAUUGUGAUCCUCUGGAGAAAUGUAUCGGCUACGAGCGUAUCUGUUAGGACCCGAAAGAUGGUGAACUACGCUUGGGUAGGGUGAAGCUAGGGGAAACUCUUGUGGAAGCCCGAAACGGUUCUGACGUGCAAAUCGAUCGUCAAACUUGAGUGUAGGGGCGAAAGACUAAUCGAACCAUCUAGUAGCUGGUUCCCUCCGAAGUUUCUCUCAGGAUAGCAAGGACAGUUAAAGCAGUUUUAAUUAGGUAAAGAAUAAAUGAUUAGAAGCAUCUGGGAGUUUUUAUUUUGCUCUCGACUUAGUUCUCAAACUCUAAAUAUUUGUAAUAACUCGGUAUUUCUUAAUUGAAGAUCGAGGCAGAAUGCUUGUCCUUAGUGGGCCAUUUUUGGUAAGCAGAACUGGCGAUGAGGGAUGAACCUAACUUUGAGUUAAGGUGCCCAACUGCACGCGCAUCAGAUACCACAAAAGGGUGUGUUGAUUCAUUUAGACAGCAGGACGGUGGCCAUGGAAGUUGGAACCCGCUAAGGAGUGUGUAACAACUCACCUGCCGAAUGAAUUAGCCCCGAAAAUUUUGAUGGCUCUCCAGCGUGCGACCGAUACUCAAACAUUGCAACGAAAGUCUGAUUGCAAUGAGUAGGAGGGCGUAGGCGUCUUGUCGAAGCUUUGAGCGUGAGCCUGAGUAGAAAGGCGUCUAGUGCAGAUCUUGGUGGUAGUAGCAAUUAUUCAAAUGAGAACUUUGAAGGCCGAAGUGGAGAAGGUUUCCAUGAGAACAGCAAUUGGUCAUGGGUGACUCGGUCCUAAGAUAUUGGUAAACACCUUGCAAUUGAGCUUUGGCUCGCGAUCGAAGAAGGGAAAAUGAGGUUAAUAUUCCUCAAGCUGGCUAUGGAUGUCACGGUAACGUUUGUGAGCUCGGUGACACCAGCGCGUGCCUCUGGAAGAGUUAUCUUUUUCUUUGCUAACAGUCCAGCGACCCUGAAAUCGGAUUAUCCGGAGAUGAGGGUUGUAAGGCUGGAAUAGUGUAUGUUUGAUUUUCUUUAUACAAAUAGAAGCGCUCGCGAUGGUCCUUGAAAACCCGAGUGAGGUAAUUAUUCCCAACCAGCAGUA